rnacentral:lncRNA from 1 species
CUGUCUAUUCAGAAGGUUGGCUAAUUAGAACCUAGGUAAAGAAGGUCUUUGUAAAGAACUGAAAUGUGCAAACAGAGUCCAGAAACAAAGAUUCAUGCUCCAGAUAUUGCUUCGAAUAAGAAAACAGAGCGGUAAAGAAAACAAUCUAGACAUAAUCCUAUCAAGGUAUUUUAUGGAAUAAUUUUGGUGUUGAUUUUGGAAUUAGAUGUUGAUUUUGGAAUUAUAUGUUUAUCUGGUUGUUCCUCUAUGGGGAAUAAUUUAUUACUCAAUGACUAUAGGGUGGUGUUGAGUCAUAAGUAUCAUGAUGAUAUUCUAAAACCAGGGGCAGAGGCAAGUCUCAGGUUUGACUUUGUUUCCUAAGGGCAGGGGCAGUGUCUAUGAAUCAAUAGCUGCCAUGAGUGUUUCUGUACACUCUGUAGGUGCUCAGUA